UAAGGUGCCCUUGCUGGCCUUGAACUAGGCAGUCAUUUUUCCUCAGCCUCCUGAGUUGCUGAGAUUACAAGUGUGCACCACUGUGCCUGACUGCUAACCUCAUUUUUUUUAAGCAGUUUUUUCGAUUGUUAGCGUUUUCCACAUUCACAGAUCAUACAUUGUUUCUUAAAAAAAUAUUUUUAGUUGUAGAUGGACACAAUAUCUUCAUUUACUUAUUUAUUUUUACUCGGUGCUGAGGAUGGAACCCAGUGGCCUCACAGGUGCAGGGCAAAGCUCUACCACUGAGCUACAACCCCAGCCCAGAGGUCACACAUCUUAAGUUGAACAGAAAUGGUUGCUCUUUGCCCAAAUCAUAAAGAUAUUCUCUGCAUCUUGGUAGCAUGUCUCCUGGAACAUUAGUCCUGUUCCACUUUCCCCUUCUAGAUUGUUAAGAGUCACAUGUCUGGAAGGAUCUAUUAUUCUAUGAGCAGGACUCCCCUAACACCCUUUAGCAUUUUAUACUUACUUGAGUCAUAGCAUUACUUGUAUUGUCAUUGCUAGCUUGAACAUGAUUACCUAUGCUGGGCUUGAGGAUACAAUCUCUUGUUAGGUCUUGUACUGCUAAACUAUUACAUUGUUUGGUUUUUAGCCAACCCUAAGUAAAAUGGAGUGGGCACAUGUAAAUAUUUUUUAUGAAGUUUGAUAUUUUAUUGGUCUUUCAAGUGCUUGUUUGUAUUUUUGCUAGUACCUCCUGAGAUUAACACUCUGAACUUUCUGCAAUGAUGGAACAUUCUGUAUUUGUGCUGUUCCAGUAUGGUAGCCACUAAUCAUAAUUUUAAGCACUGGAAGUAUGGUUGGUAUUAACUAAAAAGACUAAAAUUUAAAUUUGUUUAAAGUGCCACUGUGGACAGUGUAUCUGUAACCACCAAAGUAAGUUUGAUCCAGAGGAAGUAUAAAUUAAUGCCAUCAUAUUUUAAUAUUAAAGUUUUUUUUAUGUGCUAAUAUGCAUCUUGUAAAUUUCAUUUGUACACUGUAAGACACAUUGGGGGCAGUUACCUUACUUAAAAUUUCUCUUCAGGACAGUGGUCUUCAAACCUUCAAUAUACACAAAGAUGGUUGCCUUGCUUUCUCAUUGCAGAUUUCUGUUUCACAUGCAAAGAUGGUGAACUCUAGGGCAGUCCAGCCUGGAACUACAAUUCCUGGGUUGCUUCUUGAUGACAAAACAGUGCUUAUUUAUGGCUGUGUCCCUGUUGCCUAAGCGAAGGGAGGUCCACGAGGUCAAAAUUCUUUUCAUAAUACCAGUGUUUGUAAAUUGCUCCCUCAUUCUUGAAAUUAUGCAGUUGCUACAUGAUGUGUGAUGACAUUGUCACUGAUAAUGAAUGAUGCUGUUUGUAUAUGAAUUUUCUAAGGUAGCAGGUAGGUUUAGGUAUGAAUUUUAUUUUUAAAGAAAUUUUUAGGUUAUAUGUUCUAUAAUAUGCAACCUCAGUGUCAUGCAGUUGUGUCGUUUUAUUUGUGUCAUACAAAAUCCUGGCAUCUUUGCACAUUGUGCACAUUUUAAAAUUUGGUAUACAUCUUGUUUUUGCAUGUUUUAAAUAUUUUCUCCAAACUUCCAAAUUUUAGAAUUUAGUAACUUUAAAAUAAAUUGUACUGAAAGAAUGGCUCAUUAGCUUAAAAUACUAUAUAAAUUAACUUGUAGGGGAGAGGAAAUGACCAAAGAAACUACAUGAAAUAAAAAUAUGAAAGUUGCCUUUUGUUGGCUUUAGAGAUAAUUUAAUGUAGCAUGUCUUAUGAAAUAGAAUAACUUGUAGUGUUGGUGCCAGCUAUGCUGUGGAGUCAUUUUGAAACUAAUUCAAAGUAUUGUAGGGGUUUUUUGUUCUUGUUUUUUUGAAAGGUAUUGAAUAUUUUAAAUGUUGACACAUGAUACUCCCUAAAAGAAAACAAAAAUCAUUAAGAGGUUUCAAACCAGAAGUGAAAAAGCUGAUGUAAAUUACUGCAUUAUAUUGGCUGGAAAAACAUACAUAAUAGCUGAGAAACUUAAGCCACAUAGUACAAAUUGCUAAUUAUCUGCUAGAUUAUAAGCAAGAAAUAAUUAUAGUAGUUCCUCUUUUGUACAUUACAGCAGCUCGUCAUAUUAAAAGAUUUGUGUGCAGAUGUGAAUUCUAAAUCUCUCGUGGAAGUGUACUUAACUUUAUGAUGGAUGGAUUUACAAAUGUGGCUCAACUUGUUAUUUACUUGUAUUUGCUGGACAUCAGCUAAUCAAAGAUAAACUUUAUGUGGAAAUGGGGUAAUAAACACUGUCCUAAAACAGUUCAAGUGUGGAAUGAUUUUUUAAUCUUCUGCUUUAUCCUGAACAACUAUCUGUUGACAUUUGCACUAUAUGGUGGGAAGGCAACAGUGAGUAAAACUGUGGGCACCUUAGCACAAAUUAAAGCAACUGCAUAAAACUUUGGUAGUAGUUCUUCACUGCCGUGCAUCUCUAAACCAAAAGGAUUAAAAAGCCAGUUUCUGCAGGCAUGGUGGCAUAGCCUGUAAUCCCAGGAAUUUGGGAGACUGAGAUGGAAGAAUUGCAAGUUUGAGGCCAGUUUGGGCAACUUAGUAUCAGACCCUGUUCUCAAAAAUAAAAGGACUGGAGAUGUAGCUCUGGGGUAGAGACCACCCUGUGUCAAACCCCAGUAUCCUCUCUCCCCAAAAGGCAGUUUUCACACAAAAACAAUAAAAUUGUUAAAAGAGCCCUUUUUUAAGAUUCUUAUUUUAGUACUGGGUCUAACAAGUUGCACAGGCUGGCCUUGGAUCUUCUUACCUUGGCUGCCCAAAUAGCUGGGAUUAUAGGUGUGCACAACCACAACCAGCAUAAUUUGUCAGUAUGAAUGAGGAAAUGGAAAGCUGGCAUACAGUACUUUGGAAUAGUGGUUCUCUUUAGAAAAACCACUCAUGCAAUAGUGUUGCAAGCUCAAUUUGUUUUUCUUGGAGCACCAUUUUUAUUUGAAAGAAUGACAAGUGUUAUUUUAUUUGUAGUUUGCUAUUGGGGAGAUACUUUCUCAAAUAGGAAGAAGUGAGCCUGUUCAAGAAACAACUGACAGCAAUUACAUUCAAACUUUGAAGAGAAAACUUGUCUCUACUCUCAGCAUGACAGCUUGGCUUUUAUAUGCUGAUAGUGGAGACAUGAGAUACUGUAUAAUGAAAUGGGCCAACUUCUUGGAGUUUCCAUAAUUCAGCCUGUACUUUCCAGCUAACCAAUACAAAAGUAACAAAACUGCAAGAUAAAUGUCUCAACAAAGUGAAUGCAGAAGAUAAAAUCCAGAGGCUUUCCAUUAAGCCAUACUUGUUAGAAACUUAGUUACAAAAAAUGUAAAACAAUGCCACUCGUAUAAUUAUUUUGAAAAGUCAUUGCUUUGAAAAUCUCAAUGCUGUAAUAUUAUAAAGUUUUUGUUUAAAUUUCUAAUGGUAAAAUAUUGAUAAAUAAAAGCUGCUGAGUCCCUCAAUUUUUAACAAAGUGGAAGGAUCCUGCCUGAGACCACACAGAUUGAGAAAUGGCUGUUCUAGCAUAUAGUACACAUAGUGAACAAAUGCAUAGAUGAUUGGUAAUGGGCAUGCUAGGACAGGGAGCAGGUUUCUGUGGAGAACAGUGUUGUUUAAGGUGGUAUAUACAAGACUAAUAGCAAUUACAAAUUAACAAUUUAGGGCUUGCUUGAGAAAAACUAAGCACCAUUCUCCUGAGUAAAAAAUGGUUCUUCUAUACAUCUGUCAUUGAAUAACUUCACAACUGAUUAGCAAACACAUUAACCCUGGGACAAAAGGGUUUAGGGAUGACAUGGUAGGCCUGUUACGAAGCAUCUGACAUUUUUUCACAUUGCACAUUUUAAAAAUUUGGUAUACAGAUAUGUUCUUGGUGUUUCUUCUGGACUUGUUUUUUUUAAUGUACCAAGGUGCAAUAAUUAAAUAUACUUUUUUCUCUCAGUUGUCACUUUCACCAUAUACCCACUGAACUUCAUGCAGUGACACCUCACUUGAACUUGGAAAAGGCUAUGCUGAGAAUGGACAAAUAAUUUUCCCUUUUUUAUACCUCUCACUAAUGCAUAUUACGAAGAAUUCACGGGUUUAUUAUACUUUUGGUACUUAAUAAACCUUUCAUAAUAUUUCCCUAGUUCUGUCUUGAGUUUAUCUUUAGAUCCCUGUGGUGGAGACCUGAGCCUGUAUCUGACAUUCACAGGGUAGGGCCUAUAGUUUUGGCAGUUUGCUGAAGAGUCUUGUUAAGUGGUUGUUCCCUUUUUAACCACUCUAGUACACUAUCAAGUCUUCAGAGAUAACCAUUGUCUAGAUUUGUAAAGUCUUCCUCAAUAUUUGCAUUGUUUUUUCCCCUCAAAUAAUACUGGCAUUCCCAAUAAUGGAAUAUCUAUUGUAUGACUCAGUCACUUCAUCUUUAGGUUAUUAUAGGUUUCCUUCCCCAUCUCUUCACAUUCCCAUGGUCUUCUAUUUUUUUCUUUAAACAAUAUUAAAAACCAAGGUGAUCAUACAACUAGUGGGUGGGUGGCAAUGUCAUCAAUUCCAGGCUUUCUGAAUCCUGCUCAGUCCAUUCCUUAUUCUGAUCACCAUAUAACAAAACAUACUGGGGAAGAAGGUGGCAUACCAUUGCCUACAUGUUUGCACCAUCUUAAAAAAGCCUGGUCAUGUCUUUACUGCAGUAUUUAACAGAAUUAAAGCUAUGAUGAAUCAAGCAUGCAACUGAUGUGUCUAAACUAUGCCAAUAUGCAAAAAUAUUUGUUCAGCAAAUAUUAAAUGCCCACUCUGGCAGGAACUUGGUAAACAGUGAUGAAAACAGACAUUUUCCUUGUACUUUCUGGUUCUAUGGACUGCUGGCCAGUUUAGUUUGAAAUUUAAAUGGUUUGUCACAGGUGAAAAGUUGUUAAUGUUCAACCCUUUUGUAAUGCAGCUGUGAAUUCUUGAUAAUGGUAAAAUGCCAGUAUGGGAUACAACUUUUUUAUAAUAUAAAUGUCUUCCAAUUCAAGAAUAAACAGACUAGGAUUGUUGGCUACA